AGCCAGAUGACGAGUCUUAAAUAGGACAAAACGCGCGUCUUGGAU
rfam:Schistosoma haematobium scaffold637_6, whole genome shotgun sequence.